rnacentral:misc_RNA from 1 species
CUUGUACACACCGCCCGUCACACCACGAGAGUUUGUAACACCCGAAGUCGGUGAGGUAACCUUUUUGGAGCCAGCCGCCGAAGGUGGGACAGAUGAUUGGGGUGAAGUCGUAACAAGGUAGCCGUAUCGGAAGGUGCGGCUGGAUCACCUCCUUUCUAAGGAUUUUAACGGAAUAUAAGACCUUGGGUCUUAUAAACAGAACGUUCCCUGUCUUGUUUAGUUUUGAAGGAUCAUUCGAUUCUUCGAGAUGUUGUUCUUUGAAAACUAGAUAACAGAAGUAAUUCACAUUCAAUUGUAAUGCAAGAUAUCACGUAGUGAUUCUUUUUAACGGUUAAGUUAGAAAGGGCGCACGGUGGAUGCCUUGGCACUAGGAGCCGAUGAAGGACGGGACGAACACCGAUAUGCUUCGGGGAGCUGUAAGCAAAGCUUUGAUCCGGANAUUUCCCGAAUGGGGAAAACCCNACCACUCGUAAUGGAGUGGUAUCCCAUAUCCUGAAUACNUUAGGNAUAUGNANAANGGCAAACCCGGGCNCANCUGNAAACAUCUUAAAGUUACCA